UGGCACAUUGUACAUCGGGCUGUCAGUCCUGAAAACAACAUUGUAGAGCUCUAUUGAUCUUAUUUUUGUUUUAAUUUUGAAGCUUAUCGAUCCAUUUCUAUUUAAUAUGUUGAGUGUAUAAAUCCUGUAUGUCAACUAUUUAGUUUAUGAACAUAGAAUUGCCACAAGCAUGUCUAUAAUUGGAUUACUGCCAUGGUGUCUGCUGUCUACCACCUUGGAGACUAAAUAACAAGUAAUUUGUAUUAGAUCAGUUUGACUUGGUACAUGUGUUAGAGAAUGUGGUGUUGGGUGACAACUUCUUCCUACUCUUUUUGCAUUGAUUUGCCUAUUCUUGUCUCUUGGUUUUUUUUAUGAAUGCUCAAACAAGUACACUAUGUUGCUUCUGGCAUUUAGGAAGUUUUCUGCUGCUUUGCUCUAUGCCUGUUUUCUAUAGAUCAGAUCAAGUGCUACUCUUAACUGUUUCAAUGGUUAUUGUUGUAUUAUAUGCAUAAGAAGCAGAAAUGGCAAUCAUUUAAGCAACCAGGAGAUCAAGAAUAGGAAGUAUAUGACUUUCAUCAUUGCUUAUCUUUCCUUUAUUUGUUAGUUCAGUACAGUUCUAUAUUUUUUAGAUUCUUGGUCAACAUUUCGUUAUGCUUGUGACGUUUAUAUCUGUUUUUGGGUCUUGAGAUUGAUUUCAGAGGCAACUCAGUAGUCUCUAAGAUACCGAAAUUUGUUCGUUGAAUGAAUUAUUAAACUAAGAAAAGAUAGCAGACUAUUAUAUCCUGAAUAAAGAUUGUCCCAUC
rnacentral:lncRNA from 1 species